rnacentral:lncRNA from 1 species
AGACCUUGGAUCCUCAGAGGGGCCUCUGGACUGACCCCAUACCACCCCAAUCAGUAUCAUCCUGGUUUAACCUUUCCCUUGGGGAUUAUAACCCAUCCCUAAUUUUGACAGAGAAACAAGGACAGGAAAGCUGUCCCUUUAGUUUAAAUUGGUUUCUUUUUACUAGCAAACAAAAUUAGGGUCCCAGGUUAAACUGGUUAGCAAGCAAAUGGCUCAGGGGCUUGGAGUUAUCACAUAAUUCAACCAUGCCUUUAGCUCAGACUGGAAAAGAUGGUCCUUUGAAGUACAUGAAGAAAUGAGCAAAAGAAUCAGAAGAGGAAAGAAUCCAAGAAGACAGAAGGAAGAAUGGAACAUUUGCUUUCUUAGGAAAUUAAGGAAGGACACCAGAAGAAAAUCCCUUGGGUGGGAAUGGCAGAAGGCAAGGACAAAUGGAAAAGAAAAUAGGAAAAGUAUAGAAGGAAUCCUGGCUGAUACUCCAUUGCCUCCUCAAGGAAGUGAUAUUGCUGAAAAUAUGACUUUCAGAGAAGCUGCUCUAAAAAUAAUUACAAUAAAGAUGAGGGAUAAAUAGAGAUGGGAAAGAGGGGUGUGAAAAUGGUAAGUACAUCAGAAGCAGCACUAUAUCAGGGUCCUGGAAUUCCUAGCCUCCUUCCUUAAGGCUCAAAUCAAGUUUCACUUUAAAAAUUAAAAGUAUUUUAAGUUUACAAAAAUAAUUUUGCAUUUUAAAUUGUGUUUGCUUUCUAAUGUAUUUCUUCUAAAUGCAG